rnacentral:tRNA from 1 species
AAAAAACAUUAUAUUUUCAAUAUAAAAAUAAUUAAAUUUAAUUUAUAAAUA